rnacentral:lncRNA from 10 species
CCGGAGGGAGAGUCAUGAGAAUGCUUUACUUGUGGACUUCUUGUUCUGUGAGGAUUCUGUGAUAUCUGGAGCCAAUACUCAUGAAGGAAGAAGUUUAAAACUUUCCGUUUAAACCACUUAGAAUGAGAGGAUUUACAAAGAUCCUGUUUAAUGUUCAGCUGACACAUUGUCAAAAACGUUUAUCAUGCAACCUUUUGAAGUUUCUUCCACUCCCUCCUAGUUAUUAAAGCUUGGAUUGCAGUUAGUUAUCAACAACAAAGCAUACACGUGAUGGUGUUUUUAGAGUCAGCCUUUCAGUUUGAUUUCUGAACUACUAAGCAAAAUUCAGUUCUCCUGAUCAGAAAAAUGAUUAGUGACCUACUUUUCAUGCUGAAUGCACAAAACCGUUGAUUUCUGAAAUCACUUCUAUAUGGACCUAGGGAUAAUGCAAGGGACAUGGAAAUUUCAUUUGUAUCAUAAUGCUCCAAACUGCAAGAAUUUUCAGAUAUAAGAAUCUGCCACUUCAAGUGAGGCUGUGAUUCUUUCAGUGCAAAUGAGGAAAUAGUGACCUACAUUAUUGAGAAGAUUCCUCUGGCAACUUAAUUCCUAAUGUAAAUUUCUUCAGAUUGAGAAUAAGCUUCAGUUCGUGUUUUGGCAAGGGGAAUAAAACUCUUUCUGAAUAAUUCAA